rnacentral:lncRNA from 10 species
CCCUGGUCUGCCGCAGGAGACCCUGCCGAUGCCACUCAGGGUCAAGACUCUGGCGCGGUGGAAACUGCAGAGCAAAAGGAAACACAGACAAAAACAGUGAGAAGGAGAGAGAGCAUGUGGGGCUUUGCCAGAGAGGAACUUGGAUGGCAAUCACCUAAGAACUCCAAACUCAGUGCCAGGGCAGACUGGUGUCUAUUUUGGGAUGGCUCAAGUACUCAAAAGGCAGCACUAAAAUAAGGCUAUGUCUCUUCCUGAGAAUACUCUGGACUUCAUUCUCUGAUUAAAGAUCACAACUGCUUCUUCGUUGAGGAAAUCAUGUAUUUCAAAGCCACCAAUGAACAAGAAUGACAAUCCAUGAAUUACACAGUAAACAAAUACUAUAUGUAUGAGACCGAUUCACUGUCACAAACCUGGAGAAGAAAACCCUUUUGAGGUUUAAAGCUGAGAGGGAGAUAAAAACUUGGUUGUACUACUUCUGGGAAAUGCUGAAGUUAUCCACGUGAUUUUCCAGUCACUGAUUAUUUUAGCAAAGUAACACAAACAGAGGAGGAGCUCUGGACUCUAGCUUCUCAUUUCUAAAAGAACAGAUGUAAUGGGAUGUAUUGGUCCAGCACUGAUAACAGGUUAUCCUACAAUCAAGUAUACUCUUUCCAGAAAGCUGAGUUAGGUAUGCAACUGCCUUUCUAAGCCAUGACUACAUUGCUAAAUGAAUCAUUGAUUUGGAAAAUCUGAAGUGACCUUCAGCUUGUUCUCCAGCUCUUCCUCAACAGAAAAGAGAGGCAAAAUCAGCAAAAUAUUGGAAAGAGGUAGUUUUUCUAAAGGUAUUUGUGGCAGGUAGAAGAUUGGAGGCCACUCAGCUAUGUGUGUAAGUGUGUGCAGGGAGAAAUUAGGUUCUAUAUUCAGAAGUGACAUUCUUUGUAUUUUCAGUGUGGCUCUAAAAACAGAGCCUUUUUCUUAUAGUUCAGAGUCAGACACUGCCCUUGGCUUCUCAGCCAUUCUAGUAAACUAUUUGUUACUCAGAAAGCCUCAAAUUCUUCAUUGAAUUUAUUUGGACCAGUUUUUGUGCACUUACCUCGUUGGCAUGGUAAUAGUCUUUUGAAUAACCAAUACUGUGAACAAUUAUACAAUUAAAAAUUCUACUUCCAUUAUUAUUCUUAACUUCUCCCUUUAUAUUUUGUUACAGUUAUGAGGUAUGUUUUAUUAACUAUUCUAGACAUAGAUCUAGCCCUGCAUUUACUCAGCACUGCCUUGCUCCUUUUCAUGAGGGGUGAUCUAGUUAGACAUAUCAAUAUUCAAUGAAAUGUAUAGAUUACCCUGAUAAAAUGGCUCAAUGAAGUUCAUGUAAGGUCAAUGGAAGAUUGAGGCAUCAUAUGCACUGAGCCACUAAUUGGUCUCAUACUAGUAGGAUAUAGCUAUCCCCACCCCCUAUAUCUUGAGUCUCCUUCCUCUUAGGUGCUGAGCAUUUCCAAAGGCUUCUCUAGCUGAAGCAGGUAUAAGAAAAUGAAGUGACAUAAAGCAUCAACCCUUAGGUAUAAAUGAUUGGCAAGUCUCAACCUUGCUAAAACUGAGACUUUUCAAUUAGCUAUGCUUAAAAGUUUCUACUGAAUUACUGAAGCCAUAAUUAUGUAUGUAAUUCAAGUUUCCUUUGAGCUGACCUACAAUGAAAGAAGUUACCUAAAUGACCUCUUAGGUCCUUUUCUCUCUCCAGCAAUCAUGGAUACUUUACGAAUCUCAUAAGGAGUACAGCUCAUUUAUUAUUAACACCAUUUUAGAAUGAAGGAAGAAGAGGCUUAGAAAGGUUUAGUAGCAGAGAAGAGAGCAGCCUUCUGAUUUGUGGGUUCCACAUUCUGGAUGCAGAAAACUUUCAGUCAUUCUUAUCUAUUGUGAGGCUUGUACCAGUUUCUCCAUAAACUUACAAAACCAAACCAUUUUGACAAGCUUUGUUCCUGCCUCUGACUUCUUUCAGAUAGUGGCUAACCAUCUUCUCUUGAUGAGUCAUUUUUGCUCUUCCUCAUUCCCUUCUUGAUGUUCAAGUAGGUGAACGUGAUGACUAUAAAAGGCAAGCAAUUAAUAUCUGGGGUUAGGCAGAGCUCUGUAAGCCAAUCUCCAAGAAUGUGCAAGCUCCUUUGUCCUUAACUGUAACCUUGGCACAUGAAAAGCAACUUCCAUUCCGUUUUACCAACAUUUCGGUCAAAGAUCAAUUGCCAUUGUAAUUAUAUCAUAUAUCACAGGAUGGGGAAUCAGUGAGAGGGCAGGCCCUUUAAACUAAUACAUAUCAUUAGCAUUUAAAGAACAUGAAAAACAAAUUGAACAUUAGUCCUCAUGUAAGUCUUUUUUCUAGAGCAAAUAAUUUUCCAAAUUAAAAUGAAUAAAUUAAUGAAAUUGUCACAUGUCUGAGAAUAAACUAGGUUGGUAAUGCCGUCAAGCUCUUAGCAAAGUUUAGCUCAUUGUACUUCUCUGUCUGAUCAUUAUAACAUCUAAUCAAGGGGAGCUUAAAUACUUCAAUGAGCUCUCAAAAUAAAUUUGAUCUGAGCAGCUCAGGUCUCAUGGAUUCCUAGGGUUACUGACUGGGUGAAACAUGUUUUUGUUUUAAUCCCUGUCUCAGCUCAAAGAGGAUUAAUGCCCGUAAUUCUGCUAUCCCCAUUUAAUUGAGAAAUGAAAUUUGAAGAGGCACCUCCUGGAACACUCCACUUUGAAAUAUGACCCAUCCACUGUCUAUAUAAUAAAUCUUCCUCUGCUCUCACACACUUAUCCACAUCCUUCCUAUCCCAAAGAAGGAGGAAAGAAAGUUAUUGUGUGUGUGUGUGUGUGUGUGUGUGUGUGUGUGUUUCUGUGCAUCUAAUCCAAAACACACAAUGUUGUUGUUUUAUUUUUCAAUUUUGGAAUUAUCCUAAUAAAGGCAUUCUCUGGGAAGCUCAGACUGCAUCUCAAACCUUUCUCUGACACUAGCAUCCUCAUUGGAACAAAUAGCCCUUUCACUAAAAGCAAUACAGUUAUUGCAUUCAUGUUAUAUGAUGGUAAUUUUCACUUUUGCUUUCAAUACAACAUUAAAAGAAAAAUUGUCUAUAGGAAAGAAAGAGGCAAUAUACUAUAUCCUGGAACUAAUUCUUUGGCAUCUGUAAAAAAGGGGGCCAUAAUUCUGAAUAGAGGCUCCUGUCCUAAAACAGACCCAAUGCUAAGAUCUAAUAGAAAGGGCACAGAGAAGCAUAAGGAAACUUAAUGUCACUUUCACGUUUUUUGUACAAGUUGAUGUGAGGAUCUAAAGAGGCAAUUUCUGUAAAAUGCCUAGUAGAGGACCAGGCAUAUAGUAAGCCCUCAGCAAAUGCUGGCUGUUAUCAUUAUGUUUUAUAAAGAAUUUUUACAUCUUCCUCCUAAGCCCUGAGGCUUCAUAACGAAGCCUUAUAUAUGACUCUCAAUGGCUCAAUGUCUUUCCUAACCUAAUGUAGAAAGUGACAUACCAUUGCUUCCAACAUAACCUAUUGGUCACAUGGACCAACAUAAGACCAAUGUGGGAUGACCCUGUACAUAAGGGUAAGAAGCAGGCAUCACUUGGGGCCAUCUCAAAGGAAGGUGACCACAACUGCCUAAUGGCAGUUGAAUCCUUUAUCAAGCUACCCUCAGUAACACUUCAGCUUUCAAGGACCAGGUUUUUGUGACUAUUGUGAACAGGAUUUUAGUGAAUGAAGAUAUAUCCCAAAAUAACAUUUCACUUAAAAGUUGAAUAUCUGUUAUCAAUUUACAAAUGCUUUUAUGUUAUAUCUCACUUGAGCUUCAAAAUAACCUUUUAAGACAGACAAGAGUAGAAACUACUCCAGUGAUUUCAUAGAUAAGGAAACUGAAGAUCAGAGAGACUUAAUGAUUAACCUAAGAUUUAAACUAGAUAUCCUCCUAGCAUUCUCAUGGCACUUAUUCUGCUAGCGUAGGCUGCCUUGUAUAUUUUUUAAAUGACUAUCUGUUUAUGUGCUGGUCAUGGGGUUUGCAGCAAAUCACAAGUGUGUAAUUUUUUUUUCUUAAAGGCAUUUAAUCUACUUUCUAAAAAUCACUAGAAUUCAGAAACUGAUACUACUUCUUUUGUUUCAUUAUUUGCCUCCCUGCCCCCAACACUCAUACAUAUUUAGAGACACCCAUGGACACUCAUGAACACACAUAUUCUUCUUUCUAGUCCCUUAUCAAUGGCAAACUAAAGUUAUUUUAGAAUAUACUAGCUGUCAUUGUGCCACAGAGAAACCUCUCUUUCAUGCAAAUUGAUAUAUGUAUAUAAUCAUACAUGUUUAUAUAUAAACUUUGUAGCUUUCCUCCCUCUUUUCUAAAAUAAAUUAUGAAAGGUUGUAUGUUCAGGCUUCACGCAGAAUUUUUCAUUUGAGGGAGACUUUUUCAACCCUUUCUAUUUGAGUUGGUAGCCAUUUAUAUGAAGAGAAAAUGAAUACUAAUGGAAAAUCCUAGAGUGGAUUUGGAAAAUCAUUAUAACAGUUCUGCUAUAGGUUUGGGCCUUUGACAAACCACCUAUUCAAGGAUGAAAAAUCCACUAUUUCUCUUCUGCAUUUCUUUUUCCGAAUACAGCUAGAUUGAAUAACAGGCCAGAUAAAGGAUUCAGAACAAUUGCUUUACUAAGUAAUAGUGAGCCCAUGUUCUAACCAAUGGGACAGAAACUGACCCUCUGUAUCUCUGACACAGUUGCCUUUCAUUGACAGAUUUACAGUGGAGGGGUUGGGAGAGCAGAUGAAUUAAAAAAAAACAAAAGCAAAUCAAGAUCCCCCAUAAAUUUCACGAUCCCCACAUCUUCCACCUCAGCACCUAUUAGAACACCUUACUCUUAAAUUCUGCACAUGUGGAGAUUUAUUUGUAUCCCAGAGGUUUGCUCAGAUGUUUCCUCUGUGCUUUCAAUGCAGGCCCACCCUUUUCUUUCUUCAUAUUAAAACCAUAUAGAUUCUCCUUGAAGCCUUCUCAACUGGUAAUAAUCAUUUACAUCCUUGCUAGUGCUUAUGAUUUUCGAAUUACUUUUAGAUAAUCUAACUCAGCGAUCUCCACACAACCUUAGACACUUAGCCCGGCAAGUAUUGUGCUUUUGCUUUCAUGGAUGAGAAAAAGGAGACUUGGAGUGCUUUGAUUAGCAAACAAGGUUACAGAGCUAAAAAAGGAGUGACACUGGAGUAGAUCCCAGCUUAAAUGAAACCCACUGCUUUACCUGCCCCUAUAGCCUGCAUGAUAUUUCCCUAUUCUGAGUGCUUGGAGCUCUUGGAGUCUCUUACAUCUAAUGUGAUCAUUAAGAGGUACUAACUGUCUGAUUGCUUCUUGUGUGCAGCUAACUCACUGGUGACCCAGCACUUUGGGAGGAUGAGGAGGGUGGAUCACAAGGUCAGGAGUUCGAGACCAGCCUGGCCAACAUGAUGAAACCCCGUCUCUACUAAAAAUACAAAAAUUAGCCAGGCGUGGUGGCAUGCACCUGUAUUCCCAGCUACUUGGGACACUGAGGCAGGAGACUUGCUUGAACCCGGGAGGCAGAGGUUGCAGUGAGCCAAGAUCGUGCCACUGCACUCCAGCCUGGGCGACAGAGUGAGACUCCAUCUCAAAAAUAAGUAAAUGAAUAAAUAAAAAUAAAAUAGAUUGAGCCUCCACAUUUUGCAUGCAGCUUUCUUGGUGCUUGUCCUUCUCCUGUGCUUACUCAAAGAUGGGACAUUGUGCACAAUGAGAAGAGUAUUGGGACCAGUAAGGAAGAAUGAGUCAGAUAUUGUGGGACCUCUUUUUUUGUUGUUUUUUUUUGCUCCCAGAAAUCUUUGAGAUUUUAACCUGAAUGGAAAAGACAAUAUGAGGGUGAUGAAAGACUCUAGAUGGUCCGUCUUGGUCUUUGAAAGAUGCUGGAAUAUAUGCCUGCUUGGCCAAUUAGUCCCCAAUAACUCUUCAGUGCCAUAGUACUGUGUGUAGAGAAAACCUCAAUGAAAAGAAAAUGGACAAUCAAGCUGGAUAAAAUACAUCCCUUAAAUGAGAACUACGCUAUGUGAAAAAAAAAUAGAAGAACAAGUCCUCAGCAAGUCAAUGAUCAUAAGAAAAACAGUUAUAUUGACUAGUUAUUUUGUGUGUUUGAUGUACAAUAUGGAGAAAUAUUAGUAGCCAAAUGAAUGUGACACAUUGACACAGAUGCAUUGUAAAUAUUAUGCUAUUGAGACCAUAGAUUCAGUUACAUUCCUCUGAUGAAUGUGGAUGCUUUCAUUUCCUGUUUUAGAAGGCAACUAACCUGAUUAAUAUCAAACUGCAAGCUCUGCCUUGUUUGCAGUAGGUGACUGCUCAAAUUGUAGUUAUUUUAGCCUCAGCUCUGAGAUAAUUUGUUUCUGUCCUGUUUUUCCCCCAACAAGUAUGGUUCAAGGUUCACAUACAGACUUGGCCAGAGUUCAUAUGCAGACUUUUAACUGCCUUCUUCCCAGGAUUUCCUCUCCAUUUUUGGGGUGGGUGGGCAGUGGGGUGCUGUGGUUGCACUGGGUCCUGUCAUCUGGUUCUUACCAACACAAAAUAUGAAGGUUUUUAAAGGAGUUUCAGUUAUUCUAAUUAUCCUGUACCUUAAGUUGUCUUUCUAAUACCUAGUGCUGGUUUCUUCUAAAUGUCAAAUCUCUUACAAAAACUGUUCUGUCUCAGGAAUUGUGUGUGUGUGAUUGUGCAUAUUCAGACUUUAUAGUUGUUACCUGCAUGACUGUCAGUCUAGUAGGAAUUCAUUCCAGCCUACUAGAAGAAAAAGUUUAUAUAUCAAUUUUGCAGAAAAAUAAUCCAAAUUGUAUAGGAUAUUACUCAAAAAGAAAACUUCGGAAAAGUUGUUUAAAUUUAUAAUCUUUUAGUUUUAAGCAAAUAUUUGUUAAACAUGCUUACUUCUCAGUUAGUGGAACAGAAGAAAAAAAAUGUAAUGUCAUCCCUGAACUCAGACACACAACACUUAAGAAAUUACAUUCAAAACAUAGGUGCUUUAACUUGAUAAGUACUUUAAAUGCAAUGCUAUAUCCAUUGUUUUCAAUGAACAUAGCAACAUUUUACAUGCACAAUAUAAUAAUGUGGUAAUUGCCAGAAAUAGUCCCUUUUUGCAAAUAUUUAAUGUAAUUCUACAGGAAAAAAUUUUAAGGCAGUAAAAUAAAAUGUAUUUCACGAUCUGCAAUGAUGUGUACCUUACUUUAGCCUUUUACUGCAACUAACUUCAGCAAAUAAAAUUUGGUGAAUAAUCUGUAUUUUCUUCUUUUCUUUCUUUUUUUUUUCUUGUAAGCCUCUCUCCCUUCCUGUCUCCAUUCUUUCCUACAAGGAAUAUUGGGUAUUUAUUAUGUGCACGGCACAUUCUAAAGCAGUGAAGAUGAGACAGUAAAUAUUCCAGGGACAGUAUCA